GCGGCCGAGGAGGGUCGCUGUCCACCCGGGGGCGUGGGAGUGAGGUACCAGAUUCAGCCCAUUUGGCCCCGACGCCUCUGUUCUCGGAAUCCGGGUGCUGCGGAUUGAGGUCCCGGUUCCUAACGGACUGCAAGAUGGAGGAAGGCGGGAACCUAGGAGGCCUGAUUAAGAUGGUCCAUCUACUGGUCUUGUCAGGUGCCUGGGGCAUGCAAAUGCUUCCUGCUUUUCCGAAGCCUUCCCCGACAUACCUUCGGACUAGUGCAGAGCAAACUCUUCCCCUUCUACUUCCACAUCUCCAUGGGCUGUGCCUUCAUCAACCUCUGCAUCUUGGCUUCACAGCAUGCUUGGGCUCAGCUCACAUUCUGGGAGGCCAGCCAGCUUUACCUGCUGUUCCUGAGCCUUACGCUGGCCACUGUCAACGCCCGCUGGCUGGAACCCCGCACCACAGCUGCCAUGUGGGCCCUGCAAACCGUGGAGAAGGAGCGAGGCCUGGGUGGGGAGGUACCAGGCAGCCACCAGGGUCCCGAUCCCUACCGCCAGCUGCGAGAGAAGGACCCCAAGUACAGUGCUCUCCGCCAGAAUUUCUUCCGCUACCAUGGGCUGUCCUCUCUUUGCAAUCUGGGCUGCGUCCUGAGCAAUGGGCUCUGUCUCGCUGGCCUUGCCCUGGAAAUAAGGAGCCUCUAGCAUGGGCCCUGCAUGCUAAUAAAUGCUUCUUCAG
rnacentral:lncRNA from 1 species